rnacentral:rRNA from 1 species
CAAUAGCGUAUAUUUAAGUUGCUGCAGUUAAAAAGCUCGUAGUUGGAUUUCGGGUGGGAAUGGCCGGUCCGCCGUUUCGGUGUGCACUUGCUACGCCCACCUUGCUGCCGGGGACGUGCUCUUGAGUUCACGCUCGGGACACGGAGUCGGCGAGGUUCCUUUGAGUAAAUUAGAGUGUUCAAAGCAGGCCUACGCUCUGAAUACAUUAGCAUGGAAUAACACGAUAGGACUCUGGCCUAUCUCGUUGGUCUGUAGGACCGGAGUAAUGAUUAAGAGGGACAGUCGGGGGCAUUCGUAUUUCAUUGUCAGAGGUGAAAUUCUUGGAUUUAUGAAAGACGAACUACUGCGAAAGCAUUUGCCAAGGAUGUUUUCAUUAA